CCCUUAGAUGUUCUGGGCCGCACGCGCGCUACACUGAUGCAUUCAACGAGUCUAAAACCUGCUCUGAUAGGGGUGGGUAAUCUUUUGAAUGUGCAUCGUGAUUGGGAUAGAUGAUUGCAAUUUUUCAUCUUCAACGAGGAAUGCCUAGUAAACGCAAGUCAUCAGCUUGCAUUGAUUACGUCCCUGCCCUUUGUACACACCGCCCGUCGCUCCUACCGAUUGAAUGAUCCGAUGAAUAUCAUGGAUUGAGGAUGCAAACAGGUUCGCCUGUCUUCAUCUUCGAGAAGUGAAGUAAAUCUUAUCAUUUAGAGGAAGGAGAAGUCGUAACA
rnacentral:rRNA from 1 species